AUUGAACGCUGGCGGCAUGCCUAACACAUGCAAGUCGAGCGGAGCGGCGGACGGGUGAGUAAUGCCUAGGCAUCUGCCUGGUAGUGGGGGCUACCGUCCGGAAACGGGCGCUAAUACCGCAUCCUAUCCGAUUAUCCUAGGUCGGAUUAGCUAGUUGUUGGGGUAAUGGACUACCAAGGCGACGAUCCGUAACUUGUCUGAGAGUAUGAUCAGUCACACUGGAACUGAGACACGGUCCAGACUCCUACGGGAGGCAGCAGUGGGGAAUAUUGGACAAUGGGCGAAAGCCUGAGCCAGCCAUGCCGCGGGUGUGAAGAGGGUCUUCGGAUUGUAAAGCACUUUAAGUUGGGAGGCGUUACCAACAGAAUAAGCACCGGCUAACUUCGUGCCAGCAGCCGCGGUAAUAC
rnacentral:rRNA from 1 species